AUUGAACGCUGGCGGCAUGCCUUACACAUGCAAGUCGAACGGCAGCACGGGCUUCGGCCUGGUGGCGAGUGGCGAACGGGUGAGUAAUGCAUCGGAACGUACCCAUUUGUGGGGGAUAACUACGCGAAAGCGUGGCUAAUACCGGAUGAUGUCUUCGGACCAAAGAUUUAUCGCCUUUAGAUGGGCCCGCGUUGGAUUAGCUAGUUGGUGGGGUAAAGGCCUACCAAGGCGACGAUCCAUAGCUGGUCUGAGAGGAUGAUCAGCCACACUGGGACUGAGACACGGCCCAGACUCCUACGGGAGGCAGCAGUGGGGAAUAUUGGACAAUGGGCGAAAGCCUGAUCCAGCAAUGCCGCGUGAGUGAUGAAGGCCUUAGGGUUGUAAAGCUCUUUUACCCGAGAUGAUAAUGACAGUAUCGGGAGAAUAAGCUCCGGCUAACUCCGUG
rnacentral:rRNA from 1 species